ACGGGAAUCGAUAGUAAAAAAGUGUCUCCCUACGAAAGCUCCUUAUUGUACCGGAAUCUGUUUUUUGAAAAAAUUCGUUAGUAUUGUAAAUCCGCGUUUUUCUGGAACUCCCUCUUAUUAAAGUAACGAGUAGCGAUACUUUAAAACGGUAUCGCUUUUCUUGUUCAGUACAAACUAGAAAUUCAUAAGC
rnacentral:sRNA from 1 species